CUGCCAGUAGUCAUAUGCUUGUCUCAAAGAUUAAGCCAUGCACGUCUAAGGAUAAAUAUUAUUUAACCAUAAACCUGCGAAAGGCUCAUUAAAUCAGUAAUAAUCUAUUCUAUUAUUUAAUCCUAUUUGGAUAACUGUAGUAAUUCUAGAGCUAAUACAUGCAAAAAACCUGGACUUUACAGAACAGGUGUACUUAUUAGACUUUAAAACCGAUUACAAUUUAUUGUAAAUUUAAAAUGAAUUAAAAUAAGUUUAUGAAUCGCAGAUCAUUUUGUGAUGAUAAGAAUGAAUUUCUGCCCUAUCAACUUUCGAUGGUAAUGUAGUGGAUUACCAUGGUGAUGACGGGUAACGGGGAAGUUAGGUUUGAUUCCGGAGAAAAGGCCUGAGAGACGGCCAUUACUUCUAAGGAAGGCAGCAGGCGCGUAAAUUAA
rnacentral:rRNA from 1 species